UUAUCACCGGGGAUGAACAACUUUUGUCACGUGACCGCAAAAGUCAACGCCGGUUGCAGAAACAGAUUGUAAUCUUGUACAUUAAGAAACAUGACGCUCGUGUGUGAAAUCUGUGGAAAGACAUUUAAAUCGAAGUGGGGGUUAAAGCUUCAUGAUAAGCGCCACAGAGGGACUGGACGAUUCGCCUGUUGUGGGAAAACAUUUUACACAAAACAGGCGUUCAACAGACACAGAUGCAGCAUUCAUGGUGUUGAAAAGCCGUUCCCCUGUGAACAAUGCGGCAAAAAGUUUUCAACCAAAGAUGACCUGAAUCGUCACGUCCGGAGGGAGGUUGCUGCAAAGCAAUUUACCUGCUCAAUUUGCAAUGCAACGCUCCGGGAGAAAAUUGACCUUCAGGCCCACCUUGCCACCCACAAUGGAGAGAAAAACUUUGCUUGUGAUAUGUGUGAAAAGAGGUACAGGCACCGCAGUAGUCUAUCAAAGCACAGAUCUGCAAAGCACCGGGCCUAGUCAUCUGUUGCAUGACGAUGAUAAGACCAAGAAUUAUUUUUAAUUCUUACCAAUGUGCCGUGGUUAUUUUCUUAAUUAUUGAAAAUACAGACUGUCAUACAAUAAUAUAUAGUAUUACGCGUGUUU